rnacentral:rRNA from 1 species
GUCCACGCCCGCUCAGAAACUACAAAGGAAUUCGGACGGGGGCCCGCACAAGCGGAGGAGCAUGUGGUUUAAUUCGAUGAUACGCGAGGAACCUUACCUGGGCUCGAACGUAAGAUGACUGUAGGUGAAAGCUUACAUCUCUUCGGAGCAUUUUACGAGGUGCUGCAUGGUUGUCGUCAGCUCGUGCCGUGAGGUGUCGGGUUAAGUCCCAUAACGAGCGCAACCCUACCUUUAGUUGCCAUCAGGUAAUGCUGGGGACUCUAAAGGAACUGCCUACGCAAGUAGUGAGGAAGGCGGGGAUGACGUCAAAUCAGCACGGCCCUUACGUCCAGGGCUACACACGUGCUACAAUGGCCGAUACAGAGGGCAGCUACCUGGUGACAGGAUGCAAAUCUCCAAAGUCGGUCUCAGUUCGGAUCGGAGUCUGCAACCCGACUCCGUGAAGUUGGAUUCGCUAGUAAUCGCGCAUCAGCCAUGGCGCGGUGAAUACGUUCCCGGGCCUU